CAACCACAAUCAAUGUGGAGCUGUGAAAGAAACGCAGGAGGGAAAUGGCGUCCCUUAUCUCCCUAAACAGCUAUAAACCCGUCUGUGCCAGGGCAAUUGUACCUCAAUCUCAGAAAGCUGAUUUCAAUUCUCUGAAAUCUCCCUCCAUAACUGUAAACCAGAGCCGGAUCUUUUCCAUUUCCAUUAGAACCCCAAGGGCAAGGCGUUGCAUCUCUGUCGUCGUUAAUAAAUCGGGCACAGACUCUCACCAAAACAAUCAACGAGAUGAGGAAGCCAACAAUUUAGGAGUUAAAGCUGCAUUAUCCAUGCUGAGAUUCUACAAAAGGGAAAUCUCGCCUUUGUUGCCAAAAAGCUGUCGAUAUGUUCCAACAUGCAGUGAGUAUUCGAUGAUAGCUUACAAGAAGUAUGGUGUUGUCAAGGGCACCAUCUUGACCGGCUGGCGUCUCUGUCGCUGUAAUCCCCUUGGCGGCUCUGGUUUUGAUCCUCCACGAUGGUUUGAUGAGCAAAUUCCACCUGAAGAUGAUGAGAUAUCAUAAUCUUUUCAGUACUCAGAGUUUCGGCUGCCCGGCUUACAGUUUGAUUGCCCGAACGCAGAAUAGAGUCCUCCAAAGAAUUAAAACCAAAGUUGAUAGUGUCAUUUUUCAAGUGCACAAAAUUGAUGCUAAAUUUUGUGGCCAUGUACAUGAUAUUCAACUCUGAUGUUUUUGACUUCAGGCUCAAAUUUAAGAGAUAUCAAGAAUUGAUGAAAAAGAAAGGCCAUGACGCUCCUGCAUCUCCAGCCAUUAACGCCGGCAUUUCAUUUCUAAUCUUCUUCAAUUCUUUGUGUUCUUCUAAGGACCUUUGAGGUCUAAUAUGUUGGUGUUUAUUGGCGAGAGAUAUGAAGGACCUACAACCUGCAUGCCUUUGUAGAUUUGAAGGAUAAUCAAUUCUUGGUUGUUUUGAUUUUUCCUUUUUGAGAUAUGUAUUUUGUUGUUUUGAAACUAGGAGAAAAAGGGCUCAACCAUAUUUUUUUCAAGGAAAAUAUAUUUUAGCCAUGGUUUCAGCAUGGAUUUUUCCCUAAGUAGAAUUAAUCGUUUUUUUUUAAAUAUGUAUUUUGCUUUAUUAAGGCUAAAAUGGUAUGCUUGAUUUGAGGCUAAAAUCUUGUAUUCAGUUGCAAAAUAGAUCAUAAAAUUGAAUAUGUGAUUAGAA